rnacentral:pre_miRNA from 1 species
CGAAGGUGCAUUGUAGUCGCAUUGUCUGUACCUAAAUCUUUGUCCUAGGCAAUACAACUGCAGUGCAAGCUUUG